rnacentral:rRNA from 1 species
CGGCGAGUGAACCGGGAAGAGCUCAAAUUUGAAAUCUGGCGUGCUCAGUGCGUCCGAGUUGUAAUCUAUAGAGUCGUUUUCCGUGCCGGACUGUGUCCAAGUCCCUUGGAACAGGGUAUCAAAGAGGGUGAUAAUCCCGUACUUGACACAAUGACCGGUGCUCUGUGAUACGUCUUCUACGAGUCGAGUUGUUUGGGAAUGCAGCUCAAAAUGGGUGGUGAGUUCCAUCUAAAGCUAAAUAUUGGCGAGAGACCGAUAGCGAACAAGUACCGUGAGGGAAAGAUGAAAAGCACUUUGGAAAGAGAGUUAAACAGUACGUGAAAUUGUUAAAAGGGAAACGAUUGAAGUCAGUCGUGACUGAGAGGCUCAGCCGGUUCUGCCGGUGUAUUCCCCUCAGUCGGGUCAACAUCAGUUUUGUUCGGUGGAUAAGGGCAGUUGGAAGGUGGCACCCUCGGGUGUGUUAUAGCCAGCUGUCGCAUACAUCGGAUGAGACUGAGGAAUGCAGCUCGCCUUUAUGGCCGGGGUUCGCCCACGUUCGAGCUUAGGAUGUUGACAUAAUGGCUUUAAACGACCCGUCUUGAAACCACGGACCA